GAAGUUGUGCUGCACCCGACACGAUUGGUUCUUUUAGUUUUUGAACCCGCCUUCAGUCCUUUUUAAAGGCAGGGUUUUAACAAAGAAGAGGGCGGAAAACCAAAUGAGUAAUCAGAGUGCAGGAGUAAGGAUGCUAGCUGGGUAGCCGAACGGAGCAAGUGGCUGCAGAGUGACAAAACGAAAUCGAGCCGGAACGGUGUUUGCAGGACAACGCCUGGCAUCCAUUCACUACUCUAAGGAUCGAAUUAACAUGCCCUGAAAUAACUCCAGUGUCAUGAAAACACAUCUUCAUCUUUUCAGUCAACUUGCUGCUCGCCUUGUUGUUUGACUGAAGCAACGUAAUGACAAUAAUCAUGAACUCUGCCCCUGGCCCUGCUCGGCUCUGAGUCAGAUUCAGAUUAAGAGUUUCACAGUUUGGUU